AGAGUUUGAUCCUGGCUCAGAACGUACGCUGGCGGCACGCCUAACACAUGCAAGUCGAACGAAGUAGCAAUACUUAGUGGCAGACGGGUGAGUAACAUGUGGGUAUCUACCCUUUGGCCUGGAAUAACACGAGGAAACUUGUGCUAAUACCGGAUAAGUCUUUACGGAGAAAGCUUUAUGCACCAUUGGAUGAGCCCGCACUAGAUUAGUUUGUUGGUGGGGUAAUGGCCUACCAAGACUGUGAUCUAUAGCUGAUUUGAGAGGAUGAUCAGCCACAUUGGGACUGAGACACGGCCCAAACUCCUACGGGAGGCAGCAGUGGGGAAUCUUGCACAAUGGAGGAAACUCUGAUGCAGCGAUGCCGCGUGAGUGAAGAAGGCCUUUGGGUUGUAAAGCUCUUUCGUCGGGGAAGAAAAUGACUGUACCCGAAUAAGAAGGUCCGGCUAACUUCGUGCCAGCAGCCGCGGUAAUACGAAGGGACCUAGCGUAGUUCGGAAUUACUGGGCUUAAAGAGUUCGUAGGUGGUUGAAAAAGUUGGUGGUGAAAUCCCAGAGCUUAACUCUGGAACUGCCAUCAAAACUUUUCAGCUAGAGUAUGAUAGAGGAAAGCAGAAUUUCUAGUGUAGAGGUGAAAUUCGUAGAUAUUAGAAAGAAUACCAACUGCGAAGGCAGCUUUCUGGAUCAUUACUGACACUGAGGAACGAAAGCAUGGGUAGCGAAGAGGAUUAGAUACCCUCGUAGUCCAUGCCGUAAACGAUGUGUGUUAGACGUUGGAAAUUU
rnacentral:rRNA from 1 species